rnacentral:tRNA from 1 species
GGAAAUGUGCCCGAAAGACAAGGAUCUCCUUGAUAGGGAGACAAAUAGAGGUUCAAACCCCCUCAUUUCCU